rnacentral:tmRNA from 1 species
CCCUAAAACCUUACGGAAUCGCUGAUGAUUUUCUUGGCCCAACGGGUAGUCAUCGGCUAAAUCAAAAGUGUGGGAUAAGCAUGUAGACCUUACAGCGGAGUACUUACGGACGCGGGUUCAAUCCCCGCCGCCUCCACCA